rnacentral:rRNA from 1 species
GGUCCAGACUUUGAUUCUGGCUCACGAUGAACGCUAGCUACAGGCUUAACACAUGCAAGUCGAGGGGCAGCAUGUCGGUUGCUUGCAACCGAUGAUGGCGACCGGCGCACGGGUGAGUAACGCGUAUCCAACCUACCCUUGUCCAUCGGAUAACCCGUCGAAAGGCGGCCUAACACGAUAUGCGGCUCACCGCAGGCAUCUAACGUGAACGAAAUGUGAAGGAGAAGGAUGGGGAUGCGUCUGAUUAGCUUGUUGGCGGGGUAACGGCCCACCAAGGCGACGAUCAGUAGGGGUUCUGAGAGGAAGGUCCCCCACAUUGGAACUGAGACACGGUCCAAACUCCUACGGGAGGCAGCAGUGAGGAAUAUUGGUCAAUGGACGAGAGUCUGAACCAGCCAAGUAGCGUGCAGGAUGACGGCCCUAUGGGUUGUAAACUGCUCUUAUAGGGGGAUAAAGUGUGCCACGUGUGGCAUAUUGCAGGUACCCUAUGAAUAAGGACCGGCUAAUUCCGUGCCAGCAGCCGCGGUAAUACGGAAGGUCCGGGCGUUAUCCGGAUUUAUUGGGUUUAAAGGGAGCGUAGGCCGUCUUGUAAGCGUGUUGUGAAAUGUCGGGGCUCAACCUGGGCAUUGCAGCGCGGACUGUGAGACUUGAGUGCGCAGGAAGUAGGCGGAAUUCGUCGUGUAGCGGUGAAAUGCUUAGAUAUGACGAAGAACUCCGAUUGCGAAGGCAGCCUGCUGUAGCGCAACUGACGCUGAAGCUCGAAAGCGUGGGUAUCGAACAGGAUUAGAUACCCUGGUAGUCCACGCGGUAAACGAUGGAUGCUCGCUGUUUGCGUCUGACGUAAGCGGCCAAGCGAAAGCGUUAGGCAUCCCACCUG